AGGGUUCGAUUAUGGCUCAGGAUGAACGCUGGCGGCGUGCUUAACACAUGCAAGUCGAACGAAGCACUUUAUUUGAUUUCUUCGGAAUGAAGAUUUUGUGACUGAGUGGCGGACGGGUGAGUAACGCGUGGGUAACCUGCCUCAUACAGGGGGAUAACAGUUGGAAACGACUGCUAAUACCGCAUAAGCGCACAGGGUCGCAUGACCUGGUGUGAAAAACUCCGGUGGUAUGAGAUGGACCCGCGUCUGAUUAGCCAGUUGGUGGGGUAACGGCCUACCAAAGCGACGAUCAGUAGCCGACCUGAGAGGGUGACCGGCCACAUUGGGACUGAGACACGGCCCAA
rnacentral:rRNA from 1 species